UACAGAGGGGGCAAGCGUUAUUCGGAAUUAUUGGGCGUAAAGGGCGCGUAGGCGGCCUGGCAAGUGGAAGGUGAAAUCCCUCGGCUUAACCGAGGAACUGCCCUCCAAACUGCUUGGCUUGAGUCCGGGAGAGGUGAGUGGAAUUCCCAGUGUAGCGGUGAAAUGCGUAGAUAUCAGGAGGAACACCAAUAGCGAAGGCAGCUCGCUGGGACGGUACUGACGCUAAGGCGCGAAAGCGUGGGGAGCGAACAGG
rnacentral:rRNA from 1 species